UGACCUCUCCAGGGUAAUAGAUGGAACUGGCUUCUCAGCUGCUGCAGAACAUCCUGGUUCUGAUAAGUCUGUGGUGACAAGAGUACACUGGCUGGCAUCUUGGCUUUUCUAUGAGACUCAUCAGCCACUCUACCCUUUUGUGUACGGACAAUUGAUACCCCAGGGUGGCACUAAAUCCCACCCGAAUGAGCUAGGAGUGGGAGCGACGUUCUAUUCAAAGGCAGUGUGAGGAUGGAAGGAAUAAUCUGCAGGUGCAACACGCUGUCACAUGUCUCUCUGCCUGCACCUGCUCCUCCACUGGGAUAAAGGAAAUUAGUUACAGCAAAGAGUCGCUGGACAAAGGCAUUCGUAACGGGUGAGACCGUACAUGGGUGACAGGCUGACAAGGUGAUACUUGAAGAUAUGAGAAGUUUACCCAACUCUUCAGGCUGCACCUAGGUGAGAGUGUCACAGGUCUGCCAGAUACCUCAGUGCAGGGAGAGGAAUGCAGACACCUCCGUGUCACUAUCAGCCCACAGUUAAAGAAAUGAUCAUGGACAGAUCAGAAACAGCAAAAGACCCACUGAAAUGAAAAUAAGACAUAUUUGCAUUGUUCAGUUGAGGUAAAAGACUUAUUUUUUUCAUGCACACCUGGUGUAACCAUGUACCUGCUGAAG